UUUAUAUUUAAUAAAAAAAAAUUAAACUCCAAUUUUCAUUUGCAUGAAGCAGUUGUGAACCCACCUCCUCUUUCUAUCUCAAAACCCUUUUGCUCAAAUCGACAAAAUUGCCCAAAUCUCCAUCACAACGAUCUACCAAAGAGUGCAUGAAACAUCAUUUGAAAGAUGUUGGAGUUCAAAAUGGCAUCAUUAUUGGAAAAGGAACUUGGGAGGUCGAUAACUCAGGCUGAGACAUUCAAGGCUACACACACUAGGAAGAAAAUCUCUAGAGAUGGUCAAUGAAGAGGUGCGAUAGAGGAGCACAACAAUAAUGAGGAUGAUCAUGUGGCAAACACACUGUCGCAUUGUUAAAAUUUAGUGUUGCAUUAGACAUCUAAAUUAUGUACUUUGUGGUGGUUAAUUUUAAUUAUUGGGUGUUUUUGUAACUUUGAACUUGUCUGAAAUAGAAUUGUAUACAUAAAUUAUGACUUCUAUGUUUUCUCACUCAAUUUUAAAGCACUUU